AUUUCUUUUAACUUCACGUUUCACAACCCCAACCAUUUUAUUAUCUGUCAUAUCUCUCAAAACCCUAAUUAUUCAUCUCUUCCUCCAAUAAAAAAAUCUUCACCGCCACCGCGAAGUGUUACUGUCUCCAACACCGCCUUUAUUGCCUCCGCCGCUAGCAACGAAGAAGUACGCGAGAUCUGAAGAAUUAUUCAGCAACGAAUCGCUGCCACGUACAAACUUUUCCUCAACGUUCUGUUUAAUCCACCACCGCCGCGUCACCAUCUUGUGUUUAUUGCCCCGCCAAAUCUGUUUUUUUUCAGAUCCGAAGCCAACGAAUACCUUUAUCUGAGGUGGAGUGAACAUGGAGGGGAUGACUAUGUGGAUGAUGCUUGAGAAAUGUAACAAUAAGAAGAAGAUUACAUCGAGUAUGCUCGUUCAUGGGAGAGAAGAUGGUUGUUUCAUAGUUGGCUUGUUAGAAUUUAUAGUUUGAUAGUUUGUAGUAGAUUUUCUUAGUGAGUUACGUUAUUUACAUAGUGAAUUUUGAUAUAUUUGUGAUGGAUUUUUGCAAUGGAGUACUUUAAUUAUAUAGUGGUUUUCGAUAA